UACAGCGAAACUGCGAAUGGCUCAUUAUAUAAGUUAUCUUAUUUAUUUGAUAGUGCCUUACUACUUGGAUAACCGUGGUAAUUCUAGAGCUAAUACAUGCUAAAAACCCCGACUUCGGAAGGGGUGUAUUUAUUAGAUACAAAACCAAUGCCCUUCGGGGCUCUUUGGUGAUUCAUGAUAACUAUACGAAUCGCACGGCCUUGCGCCGGCGAUGGUUCAUUCAAAUUUCUUCCCUAUCAACUUUCGAUGUUUGGGUAUUGGCCAAACAUGGUUGCAACGGGUAACGGAGGGUUAGGGCUCGACCCCGGAGAAGGAGCCUGAGAAACGGCUACUACAUCCAAGGAAGGCAGCAGGCGCGCAAAUUACCCAAUCCCGACUCGGGGAGGUAGUGACAAUAAAUACUGAUACAGGGCCCUUUCGGGCCUUGUAAUUGGAAUGAGUACAAUUUAAAUCCCUUAACGAGGAACAAUUGGAGGGCAAGUCUGGUGCCAGCAGCCGCGGUAAUUCCAGCUCCAAUAGCGUAUAU
rnacentral:rRNA from 1 species